GAAAUGAUGUCCGAAUGGUUAAGGAGUUUAAUUCAAAAUUAAAUGAGAUUCAACACGUGCAAGUUCGAAUCUUACCCGUUAUA
rfam:Loa loa cont3.6672, whole genome shotgun sequence.